rnacentral:lncRNA from 1 species
UCCAUCCUCUCCAUUCUUCACACCUCCUCCUCAUUCUUCCAACAUGUGCCUUGUCCCAAAUUUCCCUCUCUCUCCUGAGACCCACAGCAUCACCAUCAUCUUUCAUUUUUUCUCAGGCUGCCAUGGAUUCAAAUUGUCAUUUCUUGGUCAAGAAAUCGUACAGAUUGAACCAUAAAUUCACAACUCCCAUUCAUUCUAAACAUGUAGUAAAGAGAGUCACAUUUCUAUACCUACAAUGGGGUUGCAAAACCUAUUCAUAGUUUUUCGUAGAUACUUACCAGCAGGUUGUUUCUGCUCUGUAGGCUUCACCUGAACAGCAGCUGGAACGGGAUGCGCGUAAGGAAAACCAGCUGGCAGCAGGGUUCCGGCAGCCUGCGCAGCGAAAGGUGGUGCAUGGAUUAUACUCUGUGAAGG